UACGUAGGGUGCGAGCGUUGUCCGGAAUUAUUGGGCGUAAAGAGCUCGUAGGCGGUUUGUCGCGUCUGCUGUGAAAACUCGGGGCUUAACCCCGGGCCUGCAGUGGGUACGGGCAGACUAGAGUGCGGUAGGGGAGACUGGAAUUCCUGGUGUAGCGGUGAAAUGCGCAGAUAUCAGGAGGAACACCGGUGGCGAAGGCGGGUCUCUGGGCCGUAACUGACGCUGAGGCACGAAGGCCAGGGGAGCAAACGGG
rnacentral:rRNA from 1 species